GAAGUCCGGAGCGCGUCGCAGGGACCCGCGCAGUCCGGUCCCGCGGUGUCUCCGCCUGUUGAUGCCGCGCGGCCCGCGGGCUCGGAUGCUCGGCGCUCUGCCCUGGCAGCGAUCCCAGAG
rnacentral:precursor_RNA from 8 species